rnacentral:rRNA from 1 species
GCUCAACCGAAGAAGUGCAUCGGAAACUGGGAAACUUGAGUGCAGAAGAGGACAGUGGAACUCCAUGUGUAGCGGUGAAAUGCGUAGAUAUAUGGAAGAACAUCAGUGGCGAAGGCGGCUGUCUGGUCUGUAACUGACGCUGAGGCUCGAAAGUAUGGGUAGCAAACAGGAUUAGAUACCCUGGUAGUCCAUACCGUAAACGAUGAAUGCUAAGUGUUGGAGGGUUUCCGCCCUUCAGUGCUGCAGCUAACGCAUUAAGCAUUCCGCCUGGGGAGUACGGCCGCAAGGCUGAAGCUCAAAGGAAUUGACGGGGGCCCGCACAAGCGGUGGAGCAUGUGGUUUAAUUCGAAGCUACGCGAAGAACCUUACCAGGUCUUGACAUACUAUGCAAAUCUAAGAGAUUAGACGUUCCCUUCGGGGACAUGGAUACAGGUGGUGCAUGGUUGUCGUCAGCUCGUGUCGUGAGAUGUUGGGUUAAGUCCCGCAACGAGCGCAACCCUUAUUAUCAGUUGCCAGCAUUAAGUUGGGCACUCUGGUGAGACUGCCGGUGACAAACCGGAGGAAGGUGGGGAUGACGUCAAAUCAUCAUGCCCCUUAUGACCUGGGCUACACACGUGCUACAAUGGAUGGUACAACG